GACGAACGCUGGCGGCGUGCUUAACACAUGCAAGUCGAACGCUGAAGCUCAGCUUGCUUGGUGUAUGAGUGGCGAACUGGCGAGUAACACGUGAGUAACCUGCCCUCUUCUUUGUGAUAACGCCCGGCAACGGGUGCUAAUACCUGAUAUUCCCUGCUUCUCACAUGGGGGUUCGUGGAAACGUUUUUUCUGGUGGGGGGUGGGCUCCCGGCCUAGCAGUUUGUUGGUGGGGGGAUGGAUUCCCACGUCGUUGACGGGUAGCCGCGCGUGGGCGGUGACCGGGGACAUGGGGAAUGGGAUACGGCCCUGAGUGCUACGGGAGGCGGGAGUGGGGGACAUUGCACAAAAGGCGAAAGCCUGAUGAAGCGACGCCGCGUGAGGGAUGGAGGGUUUCGGGGUGUAAUCCUCUUUCGCGAAUGGUCAAGCCGCAGCUUUGGGUUGUGGUGAGGGUAGUGGGUAAAGAAGCGCCGGCUAACUACGUG
rnacentral:rRNA from 1 species